CCUACGGGAGGCAGCAGUGGGGAAUAUUGGGCAAUGGGCGCAAGCCUGACCCAGCAAAGCCGCGUGAAGGAAGAAGGCUUUCGGGUUGUAAACUUCUUUUAAGAGGGAAGAGCAGAAGACGGUACCUCUUGAAUAAGCCACGGCUAACUACGUGCCAGCAGCCGCGGUAAUACGUAGGUGGCAAGCGUUGUCCGGAUUUACUGGGUGUAAAGGGCGUGUAGCGGGGCUGACAAGUCAAAUGUGAAAUUCCGGGGCUCAACCCCGGACCUGCAUUUGAAACUGUUGGUCUUGAGUAUCGGAGAGGCAGGCGGAAUUCGUGGUGUAGCGGUGAAAUGCGUAGAUAUUAGGAGGAACACCAGUGGCGAAGGCGGCCUGCUGGACGACAACUGACGGUGAGGCGCGAAAGCGUGGGGAGCAAACAGGAUUAGAUACCCGAGUAGUC
rnacentral:rRNA from 1 species